rnacentral:lncRNA from 1 species
CGUCAUCAGAAAUUGCAGUCAUGGAGAGCGUAAGAAGCGAAAGCCCAGUUGACAACGUUUCUGGCACCGAAUGCAAAGACAAAGAUGGCAGAAUCUGUACAUGUUGCAAUACGUCCUGCUGCCCAGAAAGACGACAACACAAGACGUCAUUCAACAUGUGGUAUUUCUGG